UACGGAGGGUGCAAGCGUUAAUCGGAAUUACUGGGCGUAAAGCGCGCGAGGUGGUUUUGUUAAGUCAGAUGUGAAAAGCCCCAGGGCUCAACCUUGGAACUGCAUCUGAUACUGGCAGGCUAGAGUAUGGUAGAGGGAGGUAGAAUUCCACGUGUAGCGGUGAAAAUGCGUAGAGAUGUGGAGGAAUACCAGUGGCGAAGGCGGCCUCCUGGACCAAUACUGACACUGAGGUGCGAAAAGCGUGGGGAGCAAAACAGGAUUAGAUACCCGUGUAGUCC
rnacentral:rRNA from 1 species